rnacentral:lncRNA from 1 species
GACUUGGGAUGACUUGGGCCCCUGGAGUUUGUUUCUAACGUCUGCGGCGGUCAACAACCUCAAUUCUAAGCGCAGAACCCCACACUGGAACCUGAGUUUGUAGAAGAAAACUUUUCCUCCCAGCAACACUGUCUAUAUUUUUCUGGA